CUUUCAUCCACGUUUUCUCUCCAAACUCUAGGCAAGGGCAAGUGCAACGACAAAUCUUACAUCCUAGAGCUUCCAUCGGUAAAUUGAUGUCCCUUCCCCGCUUCUGUUCUUGAAUCUGUGUGUGUUUCUUUUGUUUCGUUUGAGUUUUGGGUUUGUUACUACUUAUAAACCAUGGUUGCUGAUGUUAUUUCCACCUACAGAACUUCCACAAAGACCGACCUAUUUUGUGUUUUGGGGUUCUUUGAAGACUAUCGUCGACCACUACUACUCCAUUUCUAAGGAAGCAUAACAACCACCGCCAGUCUCUGCCACUGUCACCAUUGAUGUCUUCCAGCCAUCGGUUCUACGUAAGAGCAAAAAUAUCAACCUUUAUCCUUUCCUACUCUUAUUCUCCAGACGCCCCUCUCCAAUCUAUUAAAGUUAUCAACAAAGGCAUUUCGAACUUUCAAUCACAUACUACACUCACAAUGGGAUUCAAAUUUUGAAAUUGGAUUUCAUUCUCUCAAACACAUAUUCAAAUUUGAAAUUUUGAAAUCUGAUUUCAUGUAAUUCUCUAUUUAUCUCUAAAUCUCUUUAAUGUAGUCGCCGACCUUCUAGGGUUUGCUAUCCCCUCCUUCAGUUUCUCUGUGAUAGAAGAUGAAGAGGAUCAUCACGCUACUCCGCCGCUCACCCACUCGCUCUGUACAUGCACACACACCUCGACAAUUCACUAUUUCUCUUUGUUUUGAUUAAUGGCAGGUUAAACAGACUUUGGAUCACUAGAUGACGACCAACGCUUCUUUCCCUCAAAACCCACGCUUAUCAAUGCUUCUUUCAUUUGACUGUGAUUCAUAAUCGCUACAAGAAUACCACCAUUUACACCCAUCAAUAUUUCUUUUGACUGUGAUUAAUCUCAGACCUCCACAUGCAAAUCUGCCAACAACAUCUUUGCUUCCUAGCAAAAGAUUUCCAAGUGGCCUUUAAACAAUGUUUUUGCAGUAAUUUUGAAUUCCAUUUCCGGAUUCUUUAUAGGUAAGUUUGAAUGGUUUUGGGUUUUAUGAAUUUUAAAACUAUUUAUUUAUGGUUAUCACUCUUUUCUUCUCUGUUUAAAAAAAAUCCUACAUAUGCUUAUUCGUGGAUAUGGGGAUAGGUAAACUGAUUUCAUUAUGUUUUUGGGGUUUACGGAAAGGCUAUGAAGAAAUGGAGUAACCAGUCUUCAAAUAAGAAAAGCAUGUGGUUCUGCAUCAUAUAUGUAAGUUUUGUGAUCUCUAUACAUUGUUUUAGUUUGAUACUUAGUCAUAUAUAUCUACAACAAAGGAUUACAACGAAGAAAAAACAAUACAUGUUGGAGGUGUUCUUCAAUUUGUCGCUAUGACUAUCAUUUUCAACACGGAUUGGAAGCCAAAGAUAAUAAAUACAUAUAUAGUUGAAAUAACUCUUAUUAUAUAGUAAAAUUGAAUAUAUCAUGCUAAAUGGUAUUAUGUUUAUCCCAGAUGGUUAGGUUGAUCUGCAAGCACAACCUACAACUCAUAAAACUGGUCAGAACUAGGAGGUAAUGGUUCUUUGGUUAUAAAUGGUAGGUUGCCCUUUCACGACUUAGUCAUCUUUAAGGUUUAAUAUGCUUGCAUUGAAAUUAAAUUACAUAUAUCUUCUUAAACUAUUAGUUAUGUUGAUAUAAGCUGGGAGGGAAAAGAUCUCUACAAAUUUGUAAGUUUAAUUACUGUACAAUGCAUGAAAUGGCAUACACCCCUUGAUUUCUUAUUUUCUUUUGCAAGAUCAACAUAUCCUUUCAAACUCAGGCAAAGCUUGGUUCUGGUCAGACCUGGCCUGAAGGCUUAGUUGUUUUCAUUACCAAAGGUUAUAGUAACACAUGUAAGUUGUGGGUUUUUUCAAGCUUUUGAAUGGGAGUUUUAUUGAAACAGGGAAAGAAUGGAUGUUUUCAUUACGAAAGAUUUUACUAGCCAUCCUUGUAAUUUCUAACAUAAUUCAAUUACUAUGGCAAGAACAUUUUUAAUUAUGGAUUGAAAUUGAUAUUUGUUAUUUUCUUGUGCACAAUGUCUAUAUAUUGGAAGUGAGUGCUUUUACAUAAGAGAGGCUCUAUGUAGUAGAUGUUAUAGCCAAGACAUAAGAAUCAUUCAGUUGAUUUUAUCACACCAAUUGUUUUUUGAACUCACUAGGUAAACACGAUGGAAAAUUUAAUAACAAUGUCUUUAUUUUAUUUUAUUUCAAUUCUUGUUAGUUGUUUAUGGAUUUAAUGGGAUCGGUAAGGUCAUGUUUAUAGGUAAAGCUAUAUAUAAAGAUGUUUGAGAACUUGAACUUGGCUUCAAAAAUUGUUGAAUGUAUGAUAUUUUUACAGUAUCUCAACCAGAAUAAUUUUUUUUGAAAUCUUUAAGUUUUCUGGGCUUCAAACUAAUUUUUGACCGAUAAUAUAUUUCUAUUAAUGUGGUAGUUAUAACAUGAACUUGAUAUAAGUAAAGAGGAAUGGGAUAUGAUGCAGGCCUAAAGAGAGAAAGGAAGAGGCUUCCAUUUGCUGUAAAGGUAUAGUUUUGUUGAUUUCAUUUUGAUGCUUUAGUUUUCGUCCCUU
rnacentral:lncRNA from 1 species